rnacentral:rRNA from 1 species
GCCAGACUCCUACGGGAGGCAGCAGUGGGGAAUAUUGCACAAUGGGGGGAACCCUGAUGCAGCAAUGCCGCGUGGGUGAAGAAGCACUCCGGUGCGUAAAGCCCUGUCAGCAGGGAAGAAAAUGACAGUACCUGGACAAGAAGCCCCGGCUAACUACGUGCCAGCAGCCGCGGUAAUACGUAGGGGGCAAGCGUUAUCCGGAUUUACUGGGUGUAAAGGGAGCGCAGGCGGCGUGGCAAGUCAGAUGUGAAAACCACGGGCUCAACCUGUGGCCUGCAUUUGAAACUGUGUUUCUUGAGUACUGGAGAGGCAGACGGAAUUCCUAGUGUAGCGGUGAAAUGCGUAGAUAUUAGGAGGAACACCAGUGGCGAAGGCGGCUUACUGGACUGUAACUGACGUUGAGGCUCGAAAGCGUGGGGAGCAAACAGGAUUAGAUACCCCGGUAAG